rnacentral:rRNA from 1 species
UACGGGGGGGGCAAGCGUUGUUCGGAAUUACUGGGCGUAAAGAGCUCGUAGGUGGUUUGUCGCGUUGUUCGUGAAAUCUCACGGCUUAACUGUGAGCGUGCGGGCGAUACGGGCAGACUGGAGUACUGCAGGGGAGACUGGAAUUCCUGGUGUAGCGGUGGAAUGCGCAGAUAUCAGGAGGAACACCGGUGGCGAAGGCGGGUCUCUGGGCAGUAACUGACGCUGAGGAGCGAAAGCGUGGGGAGCGAACAGG